rnacentral:rRNA from 1 species
UCCGUAGGUGAACCUGCGGAGGGAUACAUUACCGAGACUACAACUCCCAAACCCCUGUGAACAUACCUUAUGUUGCCUCGGCGGAUCAGCCCGCGCCCCGUAAAAAGGGACGGCCCGCCGCAGGAACCCUAAACUCUGUUUUUAGUGGAACUUCUGAGUAUAAAAAACAAAUAAAUCAAAACUUUCAACAACGGAUCUCUUGGUUCUGGCAUCGAUGAAGAACGCAGCAAAAUGCGAUAAGUAAUGUGAAUUGCAGAAUUCAGUGAAUCAUCGAAUCUUUGAACGCACAUUGCGCCCGCCAGUAUUCUGGCGGGCAUGCCUGUUCGAGCGUCAUUUCAACCCUCAAGCCCAGCUUGGUGUUGGGAGCUGCAGUCCUGCUGCACUCCCCAAAUACAUUGGCGGUCACGUCGAGCUUCCAUAGCGUAGUAAUUUACACAUCGUUACUGGUAAUCGUCGCGGCCACGCCGUUAAACCCCAACUUCUGAAUGUUGACCUCGGAUCAGGUAGGAAUACCC